CACAUAUAUGGCCUUACAUCUCCAUUCAAAAUUUCCGCCAGGCGGUCUGUCAACGUGGAUUUUCCCGCAUUGUCUAAUCCUAAAAUGAGCAGACAGGAUUUCUGAGAGCCUGCGGGCAGGAUCUUUUUUAUGAACGAAACAGAUUUCAGGUAAAAAUAAAUGAAUUAACUACCACAGCCUUCUCAACUAAAUAUUCAGCUGAUUAAAGAUACAUAUAGCAAAAGGAAGAUUUAUCCAAGAAUAAGAGCUUGUGAUACUUUUGAUGAGUUGAAAUGUAGACCCAGUCCAUUCCCUCCUUGAGUCCAGUGCCAUCCACAGCGGUACAGGCCUUGAUCUCCCAGGUUCGUCCCUGCAGUUGCACCAAGCUCAUCUUCUCGGCCACCUCGGCGGCACUCAUGGCAUCCGGCAUAUCCUGU